rnacentral:rRNA from 1 species
AGAUUGAACGCUGGCGGCAUGCCUUACACAUGCAAGUCGAACGGCAGCACGGGAGCAAUCCUGGUGGCGAGUGGCGAACGGGUGAGUAAUACAUCGGAACGUGCCCAAUCGUGGGGGAUAACGCAGCGAAAGCUGUGCUAAUACCGCAUAAGAUCUACGGAUGAAAGCAGGGGAUCGCAAGACCUUGCGCGAAUGGAGCGGCCGAUGGCAGAUUAGGUAGUUGGUGAGGUAAAGGCUCACCAAGCCUUCGAUCUGUAGCUGGUCUGAGAGGACGACCAGCCACACUGGGACUGAGACACGGG